AGCAGCAGCCAUAUCACCCUGUAGCCCAAGACUGGUUGCCCACUGAAGCUAAGCAGGGCUGUGCCUGGUCAGUAGCAGGAUGGGAGACCUCCUGAGAAAACUAGGUUGCUGCUGGAA
rnacentral:rRNA from 1 species